rnacentral:rRNA from 1 species
CCUACGGGGGGCAGCAGUGGGGAAUAUUGGGCAAUGGGCGCAAGCCUGACCCAGCAACGCCGCGUGAAGGAAGAAGGCUUUCGGGUUGUAAACUUCUUUUAGGAGGGAAGAGCAGAAGACGGUACCUCUUGAAUAAGCCACGGCUAAAUACGUGCCAGCAGCCGCGGUAAUACGUGGGUGGCAAGCGUUGUCCGGAUUUACUGGGUGUAAAGGGCGUGUAGCCGGGCUGACAAGUCAGAUGUGAAAUUCCAGGGCUCAACCCCGGACCUGCAUUUGAAACUGUUGGUCUUGAGUAUCGGAGAGGCAGGUGGAAUUCCUAGUGUAGCGGUGAAAUGCGUAGAUAUUAGGAGGAACACCAGUGGCGAAGGCAGCCUGCUGGACGACAACUGACGGUGAGGCGCGAAAGCGUGGGGAGCAAACAGGGUUAGAUACCCUGGUAGUC